CCUACGGGUGGCAGCAGUGAGGAAUAUUGGUCAAUGGUCGUGAGACUGAACCAGCCAAGUAGCGUGAAGGAUGACUGCCCUACGGGUUGUAAACUUCUUUUAUCAAGGAAUAAAGUGAGGCACGUGUGCCUUUUUGUAUGUACUUCAUGAAUAAGGAUCGGCUAACUCCGUGCCAGCAGCCGCGGUAAUACGGAGGAUCCGCGCGUUAUCCGGAUUUAUUGGGUUUAAAGGGAGCGUAGAUGGGUUGUUAAGUCAGUUGUGAAAGUUUGCGGCUCAACCGUGAAAUUGGAAUUGAUACUGGCAGCCUUGAGUACAGUUGAGGUAGGCGGAAUUCGUGGUGUAGCGGUGAAAUGCUUAGAUAUCACGAAGAACUCCGAUUGCGAAGGCAGCUUACGAAACUGCCACUGACAUUGAUGCUCGAAAGUGUGGGUAUCAAACAGGAUUAGAUACCCGAGUAGUC
rnacentral:rRNA from 1 species